rnacentral:rRNA from 1 species
AUCUUUAUAAUUUUACUAACAAAUCCACCUUCAAUUAAUUUUUCAUUUUAAUAUCCAUUUAAAUAAAUUUAUUGUAACUCAUCACUCCUUAAAUAUAAGCUACACCUUGAUCUGAAAUAAAUUUUUACAAAUUCAAGAAAAUUUUUAUUCUUUUAAAAUAUUCUGAUAACGACGGUAUAUAAACUGAAACACAAAUUCAAGUAAGGUCCAACGCGGAUUAUCAAUUAUAGGACAAGUUCCUCUGAAUAGAAUAAAAUACCGCCAAAUUUUUUAAGUUUCAAGAUUUUAUCUAUUAC